rnacentral:rRNA from 1 species
GUGUCAGCCGCCGCGGUAAUACGUAGGUGGCAAGCGUUGUCCGGAUUUACUGGGCGUAAAGGGUGCGUAGGCGGAUACUUAAGUGGGAUGUGAAAUACCCGGGCUUAACUUGGGUGCUGCAUUCCAAACUGGGUGUCUAGAGUGCUGGAGAGGAAAGUAGAAUUCCUAGUGUAGCGGUGAAAUGCGUAGAGAUUAGGAAGAAUACCAGUGGCGAAGGCGACUUUCUGGA